rnacentral:rRNA from 1 species
GACGAAGGGGGCUAGCGUUGUUCGGAAUUACUGGGCGUAAAGCGCGUGUAGGCGGUUGUUCAAGUCGGGUGUGAAAGCCUUGAGCUCAACUCAAGAAAUGCACUCGGUACUGGAUGACUAGAGGACCGGAGAGGAUAGUGGAAUUCCCAGUGUAGUGGUGAAAUACGUAGAGAUUGGGAAGAACACCAGUGUCGAAGGCGGCUAUCUGGACGGUUUCUGACGCUAAGACGCGAAAGCGUGGGGAGCAAACAGG